GGGUAUCUGGCUCCUCGGGGAUUAAUUAAACACAAACAGCGCUUUAAUAAUAACGGCUCAGGCUGCUAUCGCAACGGGGAAAGCAGCGAGGGAAGGCAGGCUGCUCACGGGGGAGGGGGGUGGCGUGUCCUCUCCUGGGGUGCAGGAAGGAGAGAGAGAAGGCCCUGGUGUGAAGGAGGGGAAGGCCGUCACGCAGGCAGGAAUAGCUGCUCCUUCAGUCAAAACUCGAUCGUAUCAGUGACCUCUACCAUACUUCAAAAAACCCACAGUGAAAUAGGAGCUUUUUAAGAAGCGCCAAUAUCUCAGUGUCUACGCUGAUACUUGGAACAACUCCUUGCUGUGUCUUUUGGAUUCAGACAAUAUCAGCCAGCACUAGGAUUGCCAGCUGACAUGAACAGAAAAGUGGGACUUUUGCCUCUUUCUGUAGUUAGCGAGUCAAAGAACUCAAAAUUGUGAGUCUCGUGGCCUUGCCAGGGGGUCUGUUCAGCCUUGCACAAACAGAGCUUCACCAAGAGCAAAAUGAAAACUGCCCAUGCUGUAGUGGUGGGUUUCUCCUGACAUACACAUUCUCCCAAGGGCAGGUGCAUGCUUCCUGUCUGGGGCCGUCUCUGUGCACCUUCAAAAUAUUUCCCGUACUCGGAGCAUUGGAAAGAUGGAUAGCGGGGUCUGCUGCAUACCUGGGAUCAUUCUUCUCGUCCUGUUUGGAUUUCCUCAGUUGUCCAUCCCUGCGAGCUCUGUUUCCAACUUUCUCCACUUCCUGCCUGGUUGCCUGUCACUCCCCUCUUCACAGAGUAAAAUUGCUGAAUGUUUUCAUAAGCGGAGGAGCAAGAUCCCUGUCAGAGAGAGAGCUCCGGAUGUGGAAGCGGCACAGCACACAUAGAGAGACUCAAGAAAACAUUUCAAGACUGCUGGUGGUUGCAAUAUCCCAGUGCAAGGCACCCCGAUAAACUGCUGUGCAAAAAACGUUCCAUUGCAGGGCACUGACAGGUCGGUGCGGUGACAUUAGGAAGAUGACAGCAAUGCUUGAACGAUGAUUCAACGUGAAAGCCUCAGUUCAUGGCUUAAAGUUUCGUACCCUCCCUGGUGUGGAUCGUGACUCUACUAAUGAUUAAUCGGACAUUUCUUCUCUUGUGGCCGAUGGCCAAGAUACUCAGUUUAUAAUGGAAUUACACGUUUAGAUAUAAAGUUACAGCUCCAUUUCAUGCGACUUUUUGCUUUGAAUUUGUGACUUGCCACAUGUG